AAUCCAUGAUGAGGACAACUUUUCAAAAGAUCCUUAAAUCUCUCUCAUGCAUCAUAUAAUGUCUCGAAAUCAAUUUGAGCAAGAGAAGAGAUGUCUCUCAACUUAGCU
rfam:Gossypium arboreum cultivar AKA8401 contig_32066_3, whole genome shotgun sequence.